rnacentral:rRNA from 1 species
GACGAACGCUGGCGGCGUGCCUAAUACAUGCAAGUCGAACGCACUCUCGUUUAGAUUGAAGGAGUUUGCUCCUGAUUGAUAAACAUUUGAGUGAGUGGCGGACGGGUGAGUAACACGUGGGUAACCUGCCCUAAAGUGGGGGAUAACAUUUGGAAACAGAUGCUAAUACCGCAUAAAACCUAACACCGCAUGGUGUAGGGUUGAAAGAUGGUUUCGGCUAUCACUUUAGGAUGGACCCGCGGUGCAUUAGUUAGUUGGUGAGGUAAAGGCUCACCAAGACCGUGAUUCAUAGCCGACCUGAGAGGGUAAUCGGCCACACUGGGACUGAGACACGGCCCAGACUCCUACGGGAGGCAGCAGUAGGGAAUCUUCCACAAUGGACGAAAGUCUGAUGGAGCAACGCCGCGUGAGUGAAGAAGGUUUUCGGAUCGUAAAACUCUGUUGUUGGAGAAGAAUGUAUCUGAUAGUAACUGAUCAGGUAGUGACGGUAUCCAACCAGAAAGCCACGGCUAACUACGUG